GCGGCAGAAGACCCGCUGCUGUGUCAGUGGGGAUCCUGACCACAACACACUGACCUUGGCUCUGGCAGUGUUGCAGCCGGACUCGGGGCAGCUACCCCAGGGCUACUUCCUUUCUCCCUCUCUAGAGGCUCCUGGAUCCAGACGGCAUCCUCCAUGGGGUCACACACCAUGGACUCCUCGGGAUAGCUGGCGAGUGAUUUCUCAAGGUGGAGAAUUAAACAAGUUGCUGUUUUGGGCAAAAAAGUACCCCAUGCCUACCCCAAAUGGAUUGGAGGUUUCAUGGCUGCCUUAACAGUCAACCACCCUGAUUAUGCCAACACUGUGUUUGGCCAUGGAGGUUGAAUGAUGACUGAAUGACAUAACCUCCACCCCCAACCCCCGCCAACGUCCGUCACUCAGUCCGGUAAUUUUGUCAAGUGUCCGUCGUGCAACAUGGUGGUGCCUACCCCUGGAUGCAAGUCAGUGCGGAAUGGGGCCCAAUUGUACCCUCAGUUACAGAGGAGAUGGGGGACCAUCUAACUAGCCGAGGGAAGAAAUGGACCUUGCUGUGUGAACACACUUGCCAAACCCAGCAGUAGCUUUGUCACUAAAUGUCUUUAGAGUACAAGUGAUCUUUUCUUCCAGGUGUUUGACCCCCGAAGAUUUUCACAAGACAACUUGUCUGAUCAGCAUUCCUUCGCCUUUAUGCCCUUUGCUGCUGAACCACGGUGACGUAUUAAUUAAUUAAUUGCGUGAAACCUACAACCAGAAAACUGGAAACUACAAAGAGCGGAGAGAAAAUUACCUCGUGUACCUCUAAUUGUUCUCAGAAGCGAUGAUUAUCAUAGAUUGUCCUUUAGUGCUUGAUCCCAAGUCCAUUGACUAUAAAUAUAUUAUUUUUAUUACAGUAGUACCUAGAGGCACUAACCAAUAUUACAGGGCCCCGCUGUGCCAGGACCUGUACAUACACAUAGGAAGAGACAGAGUAACCACUGAUGAGAGUGUUUAGACAUUCCCCUCUCUGCCCAAUCCGCAGAAGCUACUCGUCUGUUAUGAUUCCACUUUGAGAGCCCAGAUAUUUAUCUCAAGCUGUAUGUGUUCAUGCUUUUAGCUCUGGAGGUCCCUGAGUCAGUCCUCGAUGUGUCAGUCAAGGUGGCGGUCAUCAAAGUAAACCCUGCCUGGAAGAGCUCACAAUCAAAAUAGUUAAAGGCUUGGAGGGGAAACUGAGGUACAGAACAGGGACGUGACUCAGUGGCAGAGUCAGUAAUGGAACCCAGACUCCCCUUCACUCCCUGUCCACUAGAGCAGGUACCUCUCUUUACACUCCGGUGGGUUUGAGUCAGACCAUUAAUGACUUAGCCCAUAAAUCUCCCGUACAGACUAAGUGUUUUUCCUUCUCUUCUCAGGAACUGCAUCGGGCAGCAGUUUGCCAUGACUGAGUUGAAAGUGGCUCUUGCCCUAACCCUCCUCCACUUCGAACUCUCACCUGACCUGACUACACCUCCUAAUGAAGUAACUGAGCUUAUCCUGCGCUCCAGGACUGGAAUACAUAGAUUCAUAGAUUCUAGGACUGGAAGGGACCUCGAGAGGUCAUUGAGUCCAGUCCCCUGCCCGCAUGGCAGGACCAAAUACUGUCUAGACCAUCCCUGAUAGACAUUUAUCUAACCUACUCUUAAAUAUCUCCAGAGAUGGAGAUUCCACAACCUUCCUAGGCAAUUUAUUCCAAUUUAUUACACUUGCAUUUAAAGAAACUUUCCUAAUAUCUUUGAUAUUUCAUUCUGAAACGAUCUUUGCUAUUUUUUUUCAGCAAAGCUUGCAAGUCACAAGACUUUCUUAGUAGAUUUGCACAUCUUAAAUCUGAGGAACAGUAAAUUACCGUACUAGUGUGUGGGGGAGAAUGAAGGGUGAGGCUGGGUGGAGACAUUCUUAUGGGGCCUGAUCUUCAGCCACUGCAAAGUGACAUAGCUUCAUUGACUUGGAGUUAUGCCAAUAUACACCAGCUGAGAAUUUGGUCAAUGAUGUUUAUAGAUAGGCCAUAUACAGGAACACAAAGGAAACUACAACAGGAAAUCACUGGUUUUAAAAUCCAGUAGAGUGAGGGCAUCAUUAUAUUCUGUAUAGAGAAACUUCUCUCUCUUUUGGCUUUCCAAUCCCCUUUAUCUAUGCCUUCCGACCCACCUUACAAAGCAACGAGGAUCUUAUUAUUAUGUCUGCCAGAGUAGCAGGGGGAAGUAUUUUCCUCUCCACACUAGGAAGUGAGCUUCCCAUUUAUCUUUGGGCCAAGAUGGAAAAAGUGUUGGGAGCAAAAUUGUCCUGUUAAAUGCAAUCUGAUUGAAUCAAUGGUCAAAGCCAGAUUUUGAUCUCACUUACCCAGUUGUAAAUCACUGCAUAAUUCCAUUGAUCUCAGCGGCGUUGCCCUAGAUUUGCAAGAGAGAACAGGGUUUGUGCGUUAUAAAAGUUGCUCGUGGAGAUCCAUAUUUACUAAAUCGGGUGCAGUUUUCUCAGGAAUGGAUCUGGCAAUGCCUUCUGUAGUUGAAUCCCUUAAUAAAGAGUU